UUUCUGUGUGUCCGAGGCUUCCAG
rnacentral:piRNA from 1 species